ACGGAAGGCAGCAGUGAGGAAUAUUGGUCAAUGGACGGAAGUCUGAACCAGCCAAGUCGCGUGCGGGAGGAAGGCCCUACGGGUCGUAAACCGCUUUUGUACGGGGAUAAAGUCACCCACGUGUGGGUGUUUGUAGGUACCGUAAGAAUAAGGAUCGGCUAACUCCGUGCCAGCAGCCGCGGUAAUACGGAGGAUCCGAGCGUUAUCCGGAUUUAUUGGGUUUAAAGGGUGCGCAGGCGGUUUUUUAAGUCAGUGGUUAAAUCGUGAGGCUCAACCUCAUCACGCCAUUGAUACUGGAAGACUUGAUUGCGGUUGAGGUUGGCGGAAUUCGUCGUGUAGCGGUGAAAUGCAUAGAUAUGACGAAGAACACCGAUUGCGUAGGCAGCUGACCAAGCCGUAAAUGACGCUCAUGCACGAAAGUGCGGGGAUCGAACAGGAUUAGAUACCCUGGUA
rnacentral:rRNA from 1 species